rnacentral:rRNA from 1 species
AAAACAUGUCCUUUAGAAUUUAAUUUAAGGUCUAACCUGCCCACUGAAUUAAAUGGCCGCAGUAUUUUAACUGUGCAAAGGUAGCAUAAUCAUUAGUCUUUUAAUUGAAGGCUUGUAUGAAUGGUUGGACGAAAUAUUAACUGUUUCAUAAAAAUUGAAUUAGAAUUUUAUUUUUUAGUUAAAAAGCUAAAAUAAUUUUAAAAGACGAGAAGACCCUAUAGAUCUUUAUAAUUUAUAUAUUAUAGUUAUUUAGAUUAUUUAAAUUAUGAUUAUAUCAAUUAUUUUGUUGGGGUGACAUUAAAAUUUAAUUAACUUUUAAUUUAUUUUUACAUUGAUUUAUGAUUAAUUGAUCCAUUAUUAAUGAUUAAAAAAUUAAGUUACCUUAGGGAUAACAGCGUAAUUUUUUUGAAGAGUUCAUAUCGAUAAAAAAGAUUGCGACCUCGAUGUUGGAUUAAGAUAUAAUUUUGGGUGCAGCAAUUCAAUUAUUAAGUCUGUUCGACUUUUAAUUUCUUACAUGA